ensembl:lncRNA DRAIC downregulated RNA in cancer, inhibitor of cell invasion and migration
GGCGUGAGGAACACCAGCCAAGUCCUUCUGGCUGCGGUUAAAAGGGCUCACCAGCCUCUCCCUGAAGUCUUGGCCCGGGAGCCUGUGUCCUCCAGGUAGCUGUGCUGUGGGGAGCUGGAGAGGACUGAAGAGCUGAGGAGGCGAAAUGCAGAAAUGAUAAUGCCUCACAAGCUGGUUGUACAGAUUGAAUAACAAUGUGAACAGAGCACCGAGUAUAAUCCCUGAAACAGCAAACCAGAGGUCCCGUCUGGCUGGCAUGAAUGGAAGGGCAAACGCUCCGACCAAAUUGCUCUGGGAAUGUCAUUCUAAUUAUUGGAUCCUGACCCAGCAGCAUGCUGAUAAGCUCUGGGUUGGAGACGCCCUAUCUCAGAGGAGCUCCAAACCUGCUCAAGGCCUUUUCUUGCCCUCUGCAACUUUCCUGCCAAGCAAUUAGCCUCCAGGGUAAAACUGGUGUCCUUAGAAGAAGAGGAAAUUGGAACACGGACACGCACAGAGGAAAGACCAAGUGAAGAUACAGUGAGAAGAUGGCCAACGACAAGCCGAGGAACAGGGUCUCAGAGGACCCCAACCCUGCUGACACCUUGAUCUCGGGCUUUCAGCUUCCAGCACUGUGGCAAAAUUCAUUUCUACUGUUUAGGCCUCCCGGUCUGUGACAUGUUGUCACGGUGGCCACUGAAGACUCAGACAGCUUCCUUCUAGCUCUGGUUCUUCUACCGGUGUGCUUUCAGGUGCUCCGGAGGGCCCGGUGGCAGGGAAAGCCAGGUCUCCAGGCUCCUGGCCCAGGGCGUGUUUAGGAGGCAGGGCCUUCUCUGACACAAGUAUGAGGAGCAGAGAGGUUUCUCUUCUUCAGUCUCCACUAGGUCCUGGCCUCCAUGGCUUCUAUAGGCAGGGACCUGGCCAGGGCAUUCACCAGAGACUUUGACAGGGAGUCCAGGCCCAGACCCCAUAGGCAGAGCCAGGAGCCCUGUGCCAGCUUCCCAGGGAGCACCGGGGCCCAACGUAGAGUCAAGAGCUGGCAUCAGCACAGGUGCAAGGUGGGGUUGGGAAGGGCAUGGCAGCUUGGGGGUCUGCAGUGCACAGGUGGCCUGGCAUGAGGUAGGUGGGCCGGCUUGAAGGUCUAGAAGAUGGAUAGACACCAGAGACUUGUAGUCUAUGUCUCCUUCUUGCUGUCCCCUGGAUGUCACCUCCCCUCUGCCCCCAGUGCUGAACUAACCCCCUUCAUCUUUUACUUGGGA